GUGGGUGUGUUGGAGUGUUUAUCGGGCAUGACGAAAAUCAUGUGGGCUUUGCCCGCGUAGGUUCGAAUCCUGCUGCUUACG
rnacentral:tRNA from 1 species